rnacentral:rRNA from 1 species
AGGGUGACAGGUGGUGCAUGGUUGUCGUCAGCUCGUGUCGUGAGAUGUUGGGUUAGGUCCCGGCAACGAGCGCAACCCUCGACCUUAGUUGCCAGCAUUCAGUUGGGCACUCUAAGGUGACUGCCGGGCUAAAAGUCGGAGGAAGGUGGGGAUGACGUCAAAUCAUCAUGCCCUUAUGACCUGGGCUACACACGUGCUACAAUGGGCGGUACAAAGGGUCGCGAACCCGCGAGGGGGGAGCCAAUCCCAAAAAGCCGCUCUCAGUUCGGAUUGCAGGCUGCAACUCGCCUGCAUGAAGCCGGAAUCGCUAGUAAUCGCGGAUCAGCAUGCCGCGGUGAAUACGUUCCCGGGUCUU